rnacentral:rRNA from 1 species
UACGGAGGGUGCAAGCGUUAUCCGGAUUCACUGGGUUUAAAGGGUGCGUAGGUGGGCAGUUAAGUCAGUGGUGAAAUCUCCGGGCUUAACCCGGAAACUGCCAUUGAUACUAUCUGUCUUGAAUACCGUGGAGGUAAGCGGAAUAUGUCAUGUAGCGGUGAAAUGCUUAGAUAUGACAUAGAACACCAAUUGCGAAGGCAGCUUACUACACGUACUAUUGACACUGAGGCACGAAAGCGUGGGGAUCAAACGGG